UACGUAGGGUGCAAGCGUUGUCCGGAAUUAUUGGGCGUAAAGAGCUCGUAGGCGGUCUGUCGCGUCUGCUGUGAAAACUCAGGGCUUAACCCUGAGCUUGCAGUGGGUACGGGCAGACUAGAGUGCGGUAGGGGAGACUGGAAUUCCUGGUGUAGCGGUGAAAUGCGUAGAUAUCGUAAGGAAGACCAGUGGCGAAGGCGGGUCUCUGGACAGUUCCUGACGCUGA
rnacentral:rRNA from 1 species